GAUGGAACCUUACAUGAAAC
rnacentral:snRNA from 1 species